GGGGGGGUUUAGGGGGUUUUGGGGGGUUUUUAAGGGGUUUUUGGGGGGGGGGUUUGAUUUUUAAGGGGUUUUAUGGAGGAUUUUAGGGGGGGGGGGGGAUUUGGGGAAAUUUGGGGGGUUUUGGGGAUUUGGGGAAUUUUGGGGUUUUUUGCGAUUUUUUCAGGGGGGGUUUAGGGGGUUUUAGGGGGUUUUGAAGGGGUUUUUGGGGGGGUUUUAAGGGUUUUUUUUGGGAUUUUGAGUUUUAAGGGGUUUUUUGGAGGAUUUUGGGGAAAUUUGGGGAUUUGGGGAAAUUUUGGGGAUUUUUUGGGGGGGGUUUAGGGGGUUUUUAGGGGGUUUUGGGGGGUUUUUAAGGGGUUUUUUUUUUCCCAUUUUUGACCAUUUCCCUCCAAAUUUUCUCUAUUUCCCCCCAAUAUUUGCCAAUUUUUCUCAAUUUUCUCCAUUUUUCCCCCACUUUUUGCCCAUUUUUCCCCAUUUUUUGCCCAAUUUUCACCAAAUUUUCACCGUUUUCCCCCAAAUUUUCUCUAUUUUUCCCAUUUUUUCCAAUUUUUCAACCCAUUUUUGGGUACCUUAUACUCCUCCUUGCUGAUCUCCUGACAUUGCCAGAUUCCUUAUUUUCCUCCAAUUUUCUCCAUUUUUUCCCCAUUUUUUGCCCGUUUUUCCCCAUUUUUUGCCCGAUUUUCACCAAAUUUUCACCAUUUUUCCCAAAUUUUCUCUAUUUUUACCUUUUUCCCCCAGUUUUGAGUCACCUUGUACUCCUCCUUGCUGAUCUCCUUGCUCUGGCAGAUUCCUC
rnacentral:lncRNA from 1 species